UACGAAGGGGGCUAGCGUUGCUCGGAAUCACUGGGCGUAAAGGGUGCGUAGGCGGGUCUUUAAGUCAGGGGUGAAAUCCUGGAGCUCAACUCCAGAACUGCCUUUGAUACUGAAGAUCUUGAGUUCGGGAGAGGUGAGUGGAACUGCGAGUGUAGAGGUGAAAUUCGUAGAUAUUCGCAAGAACACCAGUGGCGAAGGCGGCUCACUGGCCCGAUACUGACGCUGAGGCGCGGAAAGCGAUGGGGAGCAAAGC
rnacentral:rRNA from 1 species